rnacentral:rRNA from 1 species
GACGAACGCUGGCGGCGUGCUUAACACAUGCAAGUCGAACGGAAAGGCCCUGCUUUUGUGGGGUGCUCGAGUGGCGAACGGGUGAGUAACACGUGAGUAACCUGCCCUUGACUUUGGGAUAACUUCAGGAAACUGGGGCUAAUACCGGAUCGGAGCUCCUGCUGCAUGGUGGGGGUUGGAAAGUUUCGGCGGUUGGGGAUGGACUCGCGGCUGAUCAGCUUGUUGGUGGGGUAGUGGCUUACCAAGGCUUUGACGGGUAGCCGGCCUGAGAGGGUGACCGGCCACCUGGGGACUGAGGUACGGCCCAGACUCCUACGGGAGGCAGCGGUGGGGAGUAUUGCACAAUGAGCGGAAGCCUGAUGCAGCAACGCCGCGUGCGGGAUGACGGCCUUCGGGUUGUAAACCGCUUUCGCCUGUGACGAAGCGUGAGUGACGGUAAUGGAUAAAGAAGCACCGGCUAACUACGUG